GACUCUCUCCUCAGAGUGCGACACAGCCUGACAGUGAUUGGUCAUUAAGUCAAAACAAUUCACCUGUUGGAUAAACACUCUCCAACCACAUUCCAAAGCAGCAAAACACAGGAGAAGCAAAUCAGAUAAUUAUUGUUUUCCUUUUACUCUGAGGCUUCUCAGCUUCCCAGGAGAAGAAUCCUGGCAAGGGGAUUUUUCCAGGAAAUGUGACAGUGGCAUAGGCAUUGCGAAGGUUAAUGAGGCAUUGAGUAAAUAAUGGGGAGAAGAUAAAAAAAAUUUGGAUUGCUAAAGGAGAAAGGAGCUGUUUUUUCUCGAUAUUAAUCCAGAAUGAGGAGCAGGGUUUAGAGCUAGCUCUGGAAGGCAGAGUUACCUGUGCUCUGCUCCUGGCAAAGGGAACACAUACAAGUUAUUGGGAUAUAAUAUACUCACUGAUUAGGUAAUAGCAUGGCAAAGCAAGGAAAAUAUUUUAUGGCAAACUUAAAUAGCAGUGGAUUCAGGUUCAGGAGGACAGGGGAUUAAGAGAAGGGACUUCAUCUGGUCAGGGUAGAUAGUGACCAUUAAUCUGUCCUCUGGAGGAUGUACUGAGCCUGAAUAACAGGAGUGCAUUUGUGUGUGUAUGAGUUUCCCUAGCUUGUUUUUCUAAUCUAUUGUAGUCUCAAGCAAUUCUUAAAUUGUAGCUUCCUUCUUCCUUGCCUCACUCCCUCAGCACCCCUCCCUCCCCUAUCUGUUUUCCUUUAGUCUGCUUAUGGGCUUAUUAGUAGGAAAUAGAAUUAAUCAACUGCUUACGCUAUAUUUGAAAAGGUGACAUACCUAAAUCUAAUUAUGCAGGAGAAGUUAAUGAAUGCCACCUUACUGGUGCAUUGCCAUCAGCAAUGCCCACCCUAUUUUCUUUGCAUUUCCUACAGGGACUGCAGUGUAGGCAGGAGAGGGGAAAACUAUUCCAUUCUAAAUACUGUAAAAUUAGACAGCCAUAUAUUUUACUUUUCCUGGUAGUAGCCAAUUUGCAGGAAAGCAAGUGAUAUAAAAUAAUAAUACUGUAAUAAACCAUCUCAUCUAUUGUUGUGAAUUUAGAGUGCUCAAACUUAGAUGAGAUCUGUACUAAUUAGAAUGCUGCAGCCAAAACUUCCACACUACUGGUACAACACUGAUAAAUCCCAAUGCAAAUUUGUAAAAAAAGUGUUAAUUCAUUUCUUAAGUGCAUCUUUUUUAAGCCAUGCAGUUUUUUGGAAGUGUACUGGGAUUUCUUUUGAAGCACAUCUUGACUUUUAGUAAAUAUAUCAAAAGUACUUUAAAAUAUAUCAUAGCUAAUUCUGCUCUCCCACAAAUCCAUCACUUUUUAUUGCCUUUUAACUAAUUCACCCUUUUCCACAGCCGAGAGGAAAUAGUUUAAAUCUCUUGAUGGUAUGUUUUUCUUUCAAUUUUUCUGGUUGUAAAUGUUUAGGGGGAAAAAAUCACCUAAUAUAUCACUGUUAAAAGAAAGGACAGAAAUGUGUUCCUCAUGGCACCUUGGCUAACUGGACUGUAAUAUAUCCAAAGAUACCAGGUAAAAGGGCAAUGCUGGGGCCGCUCACAGUGCACCAAGGUGAUUUAGGAAACCAGUUCCUAUGGCUGGCUGAUUCCUGGAAUGGAGAGGUGCAGGACUAAAAUCCAGCCCUGACAAAACCCUGCGAUCUCACCUGGACUUUGUUUGUAUAGCAAUCUCUUGCAUUGCUGCUGUUUGCUGUGAGCUCUUCAGUGCUGUUUGUGCAGGAAGAGAAAUACCUGCAAGUCCAAGUGAGGUGCUUGGACCUUUAAUUGCAUUCAGUUAAUGCUUGACAAGUGUCGUAUGAUUUGCAAAAAUCAUCUGUUCCUUAAUCCUCUUCAGUGCCAAGGGUUAUUAGGAAGGGACUGCAAAGAAGAUGAGAAAUUGGAACGUUUGUAUGUUGUGGAAUGAAUGAGAGAAUCCUCAAGUGGCUUAAGAAUGAUUGGAGAUUUUCUUUUAACCUGUGGUAAAAUUUGGAUUAUCAAAACAAGUGUUAUAAAAAUUGAAGAUGACCUCUAGCUGAGCAAUGCUUUCCCUUAAACCUUGGGAAAAAGCACAGAGAAAUGACAGCAGGAGCUGAUUGCUGCCCAUUGCCACAGCACUGAGGUGGAUGCACAGAACUCUGCUGGGGCUUAAGACACAGUCUGAGUGAGUUUCUUUUCUCAUAUGCACACCUAAGAUAUAUCUCCAAGGCACAUGUGUGAGAUUUCCCACUUUUUGCCCUCUGAAAACUUUGCAAUCUGUUGCAGAGUUCACAAGGGGAAGAGAAAAAGCUUUAUUUCAUGGAAAGGAACGAGGCAAUGAGUUAAGAGCUGUCAUUUUGGGCUUGCCAUCCUUGCUCUUAGUGCCCAGGCUGAAUAGCUGCAGGGUUUCUGAGCUGCUGCAAACAGCAUUAGCAGCUGGCUCUGAGCUGUGAUAGACAGACAGCUGAUAGGUGUUUCACAAAUGAGCUGCUCUGCAUUGAGCUCUUUGAGAUGCAAUCUCUGUGAGCCCAGCUCCAGCGGCUGGGAGGAUGUGUGUGAGAGGGGAAGGGAAAAUGUCAGCAAAAUUGCUGGAUGCACACGUUAAUUUGCACUAAUCUGUCUGGGAGGAGCUGUGCCUGCAGCUCUGCAGCCUGUGAUGCACAGCGAGGAGCUGCCUUAUCAGGCAUGGAGCCACACGCUCCUGGCAGUGUUCCAGGGGCUUCUCAUUGAUCAAACAGGGGCUUGCACACAGGAACCAACUUUAAAGGGAGAUAUUGUAUGCCAGGGAGUUUUAAAGUUACUCUUUUUCCCCGUAGUUUAACAAUUAUGAAUUCUGUAACGUGCACCGUGCUGCAGUACAAUGACAGUAACACAAUUUUGGUUCAGCUUGCAGAUAAGAUGUGGUGGGAACUGAGAUUUCCAGACUCAGACACGCUUCUGCAAUAUCACUGGGUUACCAAAGCUGCUUGAUUUACGAGGAAUUUGGAGUAAAGCGCGGGAUACCUGGACUAAUUACCUGAAGAAGGCAGCCUGAGGUGCUGAUUAGCAUCCAGCACCAGCUGGCAGGUAAGGCUUCUGUCCAGAAACAGGAACGUGGAAAGCAUGGAGAAUAAACAACCUGUACACAUCAAAAUCUGUAAGUAAACCUUUAUUCUCACUGCUGCAUCCAUUUCUGCCUUGAGGCAGUGAAGAGGGCUCCUCUUUGCUCUGCAUCCCUGCACAGUUCCACUGAAACUGAAUCAUCUCCAAUGUAUCUGCUAAACCCUGGCUAAAGACAAGAAGGUCUGAACACAGCAAGGAAAAAGUCAGGCAUUUGCUUUCACAUCAUAUUGAAGUUGAAAAUACAGUGUUAAAAUAGUGUUGGAUGGCUGGAAAGGAUGGCCAAUUGGAAACGAUGGAUGGGAGCAGCUGGAGAGAUAGUGAACAUGUCUGUGACUUCUGAAAUUAAUAACCACAAACUCAGUAAUCAAGUACCCAGGAGAACUUGUGGAAGGAAGAAGCAAUGGAGCUGAGAGUGAGCACCAACCUGGUCAGCAGAUCAGAAGUUAUGUUCAGCUCCCAGCAUCCUGCCUGUCAGCCUGGAAUGCUGCUGGAAAUUCCAUGCAGUUGUGCUGCCUUCACAGCAAAGCCUCCAGCCAGAUGAAAUUUGUAUGUGUGAGGAGUCUGUGCUGGGUGGAAACACCUGAAAUACUGCAGGUACCUCUUGGUUGAAGAACAAGCAUCCACGAAUAAAUGUAAUUUUGAAUUGUCCCAUUGACUGACCAACAGCCCCUUUCCUGCCGGGGCUCAGCAGUGCUGCUCUUCCCAUGCCUGCACAGACACCAUGUAGGCUGAAAAUUAAAUGAGAAGACAAAAAAAUCGCCUUAAACAUACAAUGUUCCCUACAGGGUUUUGUUUAUGCAACAGAGAGAGCCAAGGAGAAGAUGUGCCCCAUGAACUCUGGUUAUAGAACUAUCAUCUUAUGGAAAUUUAAUGUUUUGGUAAUCCUAGGUUCUCCUUUGGGACUCUGGCCUAUGUCUGUGUUGAUAUUUCAAGCUGCAGGAGCUGAGGCCUAAACCAAGUUCCUCAAACAAAAUGCCAUAACAUUGCCAAGGCAAAGGGAAUAACUGUGGUGGAAGACACGUGGAAAAGCAAAUUCAGUGAGUAGGGAACUUGUAGCUAGUCAGACAUGUGAAGGGAAGAAUAUUCACUGAAGAAGCAGAGUGGAACUCUCCUCCAUUUAAAUGUACUCACUGACUGAAGUGGGAAUAUUCAAAGCAUAUUUUUCUGCUAUUAAGCAAGCACCAGCUGCUGGAACAGAAGGAUGUGCAGGAGAGUGGAUCCACCAGUUCCCACCUUUGCCAUGCUCUGAGAGCACCUCAAAGGCUGCCCUGGGCUCCAAUGCCUGCUAAGAGAUGCCAGAGGAUGAGAACUGGUGGUGACAACUCCAGCAACACAAACUCCCAUCUCCUCUCCUGCCUGGAUAGGAAUCCAGAGGAAUUUUCCUAGGGAUGUGGGAUGCCCUUCAGAUAUUACAAGAAUGUUUUGAUAUAUGGAAAAUUCAGUCAAACCAUGGUGUCUCCAACACAAAAAUAGCUGGUUCUUCUUCUCUACUAUUCCUGCAUCAAUAAAGUUCCCAUUGAACCUUUCGUGUUUAUUCAAAGAUCAGCAAAACUUACUAGGAGCCAGGAAUUACUUAAUAAUAACAGAAUAAGUGUGACUAAGUAAAAAAGGCCUAAAAGAGAGCUCAGAAAGCUAAAAAUACAAUUAAAGAGAGAUGAUUAGAAACCACUGAGCGAUAUUAAAAAGUGGUGAAGCAUUGGUUUUGGAGCAGAAAACAUUUCUGACAGAAAUGCCCGUAUAAGUUUACGAAAGCUGUUUACUACACAAAAUGCUGGAAGCAUUGAUGAAAUAGCCAAAUUUAUGGAAUCACCAGAAAUUCAGUGCAAGCCAGAAAAGUUGUUUGGUGAAAGUCCUCUAAGCAGUGCAUGCCAUUUCUAACUCCUGUGAGUGCUGGGUGCUGUGGGACUUGGAGUUCUGAGUAAGAUAUAAUUAGAAAGCAACACAAGCCUCAGGAGUCGUUCUUCUUUCAGCUAUUUCUAAGGGCACCUUUAAUUGGCAAUAUUCAAAUACAAACUCCUCCAGAUAUGAGUAAUGUCACAGUCUUCAACUCUCUCCUAAAUUAUUCCAAGUUUCUCAGUGAAAGAUAAUUUUAGUGUGAGCUGGUUAUCUCCAUUUAGAAUAAUAAGAGAGAAACUUGGGUAGAUUCUGAGCUAAAUCUUCUUGCAAACUGGUUUGCAAUGAAAGGGAGAGAAAAGUAGCUCAUUAUCAGCAACAGAAAGACUUUUGGAAAGCUUCAAUACAUUCAUGAGACUCUGAACAUGGAAAAAGAUGUAUAAAUACAUAUAUUUAUAUCUUCAUAAACACUCAGAAGGGAAUGAAGAACCCCUUCUUGGGUUGAUGGUCUGGCUGCAGCAAUGCACUGCAGCCAUGAGCAGAGAGCUGUUCUUUGUAUCCCUCUCACAUUUAAAACAGCACAUUGUCCUGGCUAAACAUGAUUUGUCACAGACGUCUGCCUCUAUCACCAGUUUCUACACAUAAUGAAAAUUUACCAUUCUUUCAUUUGACACUAGAAUCAAAAGGAUAAGAAAACUUACAACAAAUUCCUUAUUUUCUAAAGAGCUCUUAUGACUACUCAGGAUGCAGUGACUUUGAACAGUAACUUUCUCUUAUUGUAUAUUUAUGAAGCAGAUUAAUUUCCAAAAUGCAAAUGCAUUUCCCCUAUCUUGUUUUCCUUUUUGCCAUGGGAUAAAGUAUCUUCUGAAUGCCAUUUGUUCUAAAAAGGAUCUCAGAAAAACUGAAAUUAACACCUGUGGAAACUUCAUGCUACCUUAGUAUAUAGUAUUUAUAAUAUAGAGUUUCUGGAAUUGGAGAUAUAUUGUUCAAAAGGUAAAACACCCCAAGUAUUAUAUGAAAAAA